rnacentral:rRNA from 1 species
AGUGAACGCUGGCGGUAGGCCUAACACAUGCAAGUCGAACGGCAGCACAGUAAGAGCUUGCUCUUACGGGUGGCGAGUGGCGGACGGGUGAGGAAUACAUCGGAAUCUACUUUUUCGUGGGGGAUAACGUAGGGAAACUUACGCUAAUACCGCAUACGACCUACGGGUGAAAGCAGGGGAUCUUCGGACCUUGCGCGAUUGAAUGAGCCGAUGUCGGAUUAGCUAGUUGGCGGGGUAAAGGCCCACCAAGGCGACGAUCCGUAGCUGGUCUGAGAGGAUGAUCAGCCACACUGGAACUGAGACACGGUCCAGACUCCUACGGGAGGCAGCAGUGGGGAAUAUUGGACAAUGGGCGCAAGCCUGAUCCAGCCAUACCGCGUGGGUGAAGAAGGCCUGCGGGUUGUAAGCCCUUUUGUUGGGAAAGAAAAGCAGCAGGUUAAUACCCCGCUGUUCUGACGGUACCCAAAGAAUAAGCACCGGCUAACUUCGUG